ACACAUAAAAAUCCUGCGUGA
rnacentral:snRNA from 1 species